rnacentral:rRNA from 1 species
AUUGAACGCUGGCGGCAGGCCUAACACAUGCAAGUCGAGCGGUAGAGAGGUGCUUGCAUCUCUUGAGAGCGGCGGACGGGUGAGUAAUGCCUAGGAAUCUGCCUAGUGGUGGGGGAUAACGUUCGGAAACGGACGCUAAUACCGCAUACGUCCUACGGGAGAAAGCGGGGGGAUCUUCGGACCUCGCGCCAUUAGAUGAGCCUAGGUCGGAUUAGCUAGUUGGUGAGGUAAUGGCUCACCAAGGCGACGAUCCGUAACUGGUCUGAGAGGAUGAUCAGUCACACUGGAACUGAGACACGGUCCAGACUCCUACGGGAGGCAGCAGUGGGGAAUAUUGGACAAUGGGCGAAAGCCUGAUCCAGCCAUGCCGCGUGUGUGAAGAAGGUCUUCGGAUUGUAAAGCACUUUCAGCGAGGAGGAAGGGUUGUGUGUUAAUAGCACAUGGCCUUGACGUUACUCGCAGAAGAAGACACCGGC